GUUGAAUGGGAGAUUUAUAGUUAAUAUAUUGUAAUAAAAGGUAAAAUUGCUGUUGUGUGUAUGUUAAGUAUAUAAAUUGAGAUUGAAGCUAAGGAAUUUUAAAUAUAAACUAGGAUUAGAUACCCUAUUAUUUUAGAAGGUUAAUUAAAACUAAAUUAGUAUUAGGUAGGUACUUAAAAAUUAAAAAAUUUGGCGGUGAUUUAGUCUUGUUAGAGGAAUUUGUCUUUUAAUCGAUAAACCACGAAUUAUUUCACUUGUCUUUGUUAAAUAUACAGUUUGUAUACCAUCAUUAUCAGGUAAUUUUUAUAAAAUAAAAUUUCUGUGGUUAGUUAGUUAAAAAAAUUAGAUCAUGGUGCAGCUUAUGGAUAAGUUAAGAUGAAUUACAAUAAAUUAUUUUAUAACGGAUUAAUAGAUUAAAUUUUAUUAUAAAGGUGGAUUUAAUUGUAUUAUAGGUUUAAUAAGCCUGUGAGAAAUGAGCUCUAAAUCAUGUACAUAUCGCCCGUCGCUUUCAUUUAUAAAU
rnacentral:rRNA from 1 species